rnacentral:lncRNA from 1 species
GUACAUCAACAAUGUGUUUCAGAAUCAUCAAUAUCACAACAAUGAAAUAGGAGCCUUUUGGUAUAUCAAUGAAACAUUUUGACACUUUAUAGGAUGGAAACAACUUCGUUGGUAACGUAGAACAAUACAUGUUUUUGGACAACCUCGGAAUCUUACUUGAUGGAACAUUGGUGUUUUCAUGCCAAAGAACAUUGUUAGAGUAUGCUUUACAUACCUCGUUGUAGAUUCGGAUACCAAUUCAACACAACUUUCCGCCUUUACAAAUCACUUAUCUACAAUGAAAUGUUUGGCAUCUAGUAUUAGCAACCCAACACCACAAUUCUCUUCCAUAAUUCCAUACAACCAAUAUUUGCAAAGCAUUCCAAAAACCAACUUG